UAUGGCCAUAUCACGUUAAAACACCUGUUCCCGUACGAUCAUUGAUGUUAAGCAACGUCGAGUUUGGUUAGUACCGAGAGGGUUGGCUGCUUGGAAAUAUCAGCUGCUGUA